UCCUCCUUAGCUCAGUCGGUAGAGCAUUCGGCUGUUAACCGAAGUGUCGCUGGUUCGAGCCCGGCAGGGGGAG
rnacentral:tRNA from 5 species